GAUAGCCAUAAAUCACAAAUGGAUUGAGAGUUGGUUCUGUCACCACGCGCAGGGUUUGAGUUGCCGCAUCAUAAAGUCCGUCCCAAUACAUGGCUUUGGCUACUAACAAUAAAGCGCCCAUGCCUAAAAACAGUAAAUGAUGCCCCAAAAUCAGCCCCAAUUGUUUGGGAUCGUUCCA
rnacentral:antisense_RNA from 1 species